CCAAUAGAAACUAUAUUCAGAAAUCUAGGUUGGAGUUUAUACAUCUUAUCAACCUGUUCCUUCUAAAAGAGCUAUGAAUUCAGAAGAUUCGCAGCUAUCUAGAAAUUUUCCCAUCUCAACACAUUGCCUGUAACUGUCUCUGAACUGGCUACAGAAUGGAUGUUGCAUUGCCAGGCAGGAAAACAUUAUUCUCAUUGUACAUCUCCACCAGAGCUUUUGUGUGACCAGAAUACAGAAUAGGAGAAUUUCACCCAAAGGAUUCCUUCUAGUGGUGAAUAUGUGUCAGCCUGAGGGAAAGUACUUCUACAGAUACUGUCUCCACCCAACUGCGGAUGUCGUCUCAAGCAUAAAUCAGAAGAGAAGAGGAAAUAGCAAUCUGGUCUUAGAGAAAAUUGUGUUUAGUAAGUUAUCUCAUGUUCUCUGUAACUUUCUUCUUAAAGUAAUUUUUAGAAUAUC